rnacentral:rRNA from 1 species
AGAGCGAACGCUGGCGGCAGGCCUAAAACAUGCAAGUCGAACGGACCCUUCGGGGUUAGUGGCGGACGGGUGAGUAACACGUGGGAACGUGCCUUUUGGUUCAGAACAACUCAGGGAAACUUGAGCUAAUACUGAAUAAGCCCUACGGGGGAAAGAUUUAUCGCCAUUAGAGCGGCCCGCGUCUGAUUAGCUAGUUGGUGAGGUAAAGGCUCACCAAGGCUACGAUCAGUAGCUGGUCUGAGAGGAUGAUCAGCCACACUGGGACUGAGACACGGCCCAGACUCCUACGGGAGGCAGCAGUUAGGAAUCUUGCGCAAUGGGCGAAAGCCUGACGCAGCCAUGCCGCGUGAAUGAUGAAGGUCUUAGGAUUGUAAAAUUCUUUCAGUGGGAAGAUAAUGACUGUACCACAGAAGAAGCUCCGGCUAACUUCGUGCCAGCAGCCGC